ACAAAAAAACUCGGACGAAAUCUCGGGUUGCUGUUUAUAUAAUACUCCGAUAAAACAUCCACACAGUACACAGAUGGUGAAUAUAACCGCCUGUAAAUAUUUGAAUAUUUAAAGUCUGUUAUCUUCUGGCUGAAACCACUGAAACCAAAAGAUCUCGGUUAAGAGUGGCCCUCAAAUGCCAUAAUGGAAAAUGUCAAUGACACGACAUGGAGGCUAAAAAAUGAAUGCCAUCUUAACUCUAUUCCGAGAAUGCAUGUGUGUAGGAGAUUUGUAGAAUAGAUAGAUCUCGAGAUUGAACGUUUUGUACCGAGAUAGGCCGAUAAAAAGAGUUAAUUUUAGGAUCUAGUCUUAUGACAGAGAGCCAAGGCACGCAAAGCGUCAUACAGUGGACUCCAAGAAGAAACAAAGACCAUAGGCAAGCUACUGGUUACUCCGUACAGGCGGACAAACGACGAAUGGAAAUCGUGCGCGAAGUAUCUGCUCGUCGAUCUGCGCGAUAUACAUAAGGCAGAGCAUAGUCCCCUUCGUUUGAUUCCCGUACAAAAAGAAACAAUUACGAGUCUUUUAUGUUCUGUUUUGGAGGCAUUGGUUAUUGCAGAUCUACCCGAUUACCAUCAGGCCCGCCCCCAGCGUGACGUAGCAGCAAUUCUCAAGAUGAACUACGAUUUAGCAUGUAUAUAUCGAAUCUGAAAAUCUUUCAAAUGGAGUAGUUUCAAAGACUAUUGCCAAAUGCGAAAACAAUUGGACGAUGUCAUAUUAAUCGAGGUCCUUGAUUGCACUUGAUAACACCGGGUAUUACCUGGACGACGUAGCUCGCCGUGAAUCCUCUAUCGGCAGGUAUCAGAAGGUUCGCACCUGAUGCGCUCUUACGGAAUCGAUGCGAUGAUCGUUUGAUCAGCUCGCCGUGGAACCAGAUUUUAUUUCUGAAACAGGUGGUUUAUUUUUAAAUCGAUCUCGUUGAAAAUAAUGACGAGAUUUAAUUGUGUCGUAUUCUUAGCACAACAACGUUCGCGUCAGAGGAAGUGACGUCAUGUUUAGGUCUUUGAGAGGGAUUUCGGCUUUGAGAUAGGGUCAAGCAUCAGGUUCAGGCAUAAUAGAGAUCGACUUAUUUUCUCUUUCAUGUUACAAACUAUACUUAACGUGUAGUUUACUAAACUUGUGCGUGUAACGUUAGGGUCAAAACAUCAAUGAUAUUAUUGCAAAAGUACGACAGUAAACGAUUUUGUUAACAAAGAGCACAUUCUGACUUUAGUCCGACUUGUUGUGAACUAGCUCCAACGCGUUUUCCUCAACUGCACCGUAUCAACGUCAUUAUUUCACAUUUUCCGCGAAUGUGCACUAUUUCUAUUCCCACCCGGAUGACAGAUUUGUACUGAAGUUAUCAUUUUUACCCACACUGUAUCUGGGUCACUGAUUUUGGUUCUUCCAGAUGUUGAUGGAGUACAGCAUGCAAGGUUUUUUUUUUUUUACAAGAAUAUACAUUAUAGAUAUAGGCACAUCGUAGUAACACCUGUGUCAAAGUUGAUGGAGUGCUUUCUGUCUAUUACAACAUAUUUACCCAUUUUAUCACCAGCUUUUUACAUAAUUAACAUCCACUGCUUACAGAAACAACGAUCUGACACUUCUUUGUUUGCUUUUGCAAUAGACAACCUAUUGGAAAUGAUCUGGCCUAGCUUAAACCGGGAAUGGUGCCCGGUUAUCCACCGAAGAUAGUCCAAAUAUAGUCAAGUUCAUAGUCAAUAAGUUGGAUAGAAAUGGACUAGUGGAUUGGAAAAUGUCAAUAUUCAAUGGGUUUAAUAGUUUACACGAGUCUGACGAUUAUGAAAUGUGACGGAGAACACUAGUAUACCCGGUUCUAUAGUGGAGAUCCCUGGGCCUGUAUUUUAUAUCAUUCGAUCGCUCUGCAGCUUCUCCAGCGUCAGGAAGAGUGCUCCUGUUUCAAGACAACCCUAUGACGUCAGAUAAACCUAAUGCUUG
rnacentral:sRNA from 1 species